CACAUGCAAGUCGAACGAUGAUGCCCAGCUUGCUGGGUGGAUUAGUGGCGAACGGGUGAGUAACACGUGAGUAACCUGCCCCUGACUCUGGGAUAAGCGUUGGAAACGACGUCUAAUACUGGAUAUGACUGCCGGCCGCAUGGUCUGGUGGUGGAAAGAUUUUUUGGUUGGGGAUGGACUCGCGGCCUAUCAGCUUGUUGGUGAGGUAAUGGCUCACCAAGGCGACGACGGGUAGCCGGCCUGAGAGGGUGACCGGCCACACUGGGACUGAGACACGGCCCAGACUCCUACGGGAGGCAGCAGUGGGGAAUAUUGCACAAUGGGCGAAAGCCUGAUGCAGCAACGCCGCGUGAGGGAUGACGGCCUUCGGGUUGUAAACCUCUUUUAGUAGGGAAGAAGCGUAAGUGACGGUACCUGCAGAAAAAGCACCGGCUAACUACGUGCCAGCAGCCGCGGUAAUACGUAGGGUGCAAGCGUUGUCCGGAUAUUAUUGGGCGUAAAGAGCUCGUAGGCGGUUUGUCGCGUCUGCUGUGAAAUCCCGAGGCUCAACCUCGGGCUUGCAGUGGGUACGGGCAGACUAGAGUGCGGUAGGGGAGAUUGGAAUUCCUGGUGUAGCGGUGGAAUGCGCAGAUAUCAGGAGGAACACCGAUGGCGAAGGCAGAUCUCUGGGCCGUAACUGACGCUGAGGAGCGAAAGCGUGGGGAGCGAACAGGAUUAGAUACCCUGGUAGUCCACGCCGUAAACGUUGGGCGCUAGAUGUAGGGACCUUUCCACGGUUUCUGUGUCGUAGCUAACGCAUUAAGCGCCCCGCCUGGGGAGUACGGCCGCAAGGCUAAAACUCAAAGGAAUUGACGGGGGCCCGCACAAGCGGCGGAGCAUGCGGAUUAAUUCGAUGCAACGCGAAGAACCUUACCAAGGCUUGACAUACACCGGAAACGGCCAGAGAUGGUUGCCCCCUUGUGGUCGGUGUACAGGUGGUGCAUGGUUGUCGUCAGCUCGUGUCGUGAGAUGUUGGGUUAAGUCCCGCAACGAGCGCAACCCUCGUUCUAUGUUGCCAGCGCGUUAUGGCGGGGACUCAUAGGAGACUGCCGGGGUCAACUCGGAGGAAGGUGGGGAUGACGUCAAAUCAUCAUGCCCCUUAUGUCUUGGGCUUCACGCAUGCUACAAUGGCCGGUACAAAGGGCUGCGAUACCGUAAGGUGGAGCGAAUCCCAAAAAGCCGGUCUCAGUUCGGAUUGAGGUCUGCAACUCGACCUCAUGAAAGUCGGAGUCGCUAGUAAUCGCAGAUCAGCAACGCUGCGGGUGAAUACGUUCCCGGGCCUUGUACACACCGCCCGUCAAGUCAUGAAAGUCGGUAACACCCGAAGCCGGUGGCCUAACCCUUGUGGAAAGAGCCGUCGAAGUGGGAUCG
rnacentral:rRNA from 1 species